CCUACGGGUGGCAGCAGUGGGGAAUAUUGCACAAUGGGCGCAAGCCUGAUGCAGCCAUGCCGCGUGUGUGAAGAAGGCCUUCGGGUUGUAAAGCACUUUCAGCGGGGAGGAAGGCGGUGAGGUUAAUAACCUCAUCGAUUGACGUUACCCGCAGAAGAAGCACCGGCUAACUCCGUGCCAGCAGCCGCGGUAAUACGGAGGGUGCAAGCGUUAAUCGGAAUUACUGGGCGUAAAGCGCACGCAGGCGGUCUGUCAAGUCGGAUGUGAAAUCCCCGGGCUCAACCUGGGAACUGCAUUCGAAACUGGCAGGCUAGAGUCUUGUAGAGGGGGGUAGAAUUCCAGGUGUAGCGGUGAAAUGCGUAGAGAUCUGGAGGAAUACCGGUGGCGAAGGCGGCCCCCUGGACAAAGACUGACGCUCAGGUGCGAAAGCGUGGGGAGCGAACAGGAUUAGAUGCCCGUGUAGUC
rnacentral:rRNA from 1 species